UGCACCCUGAGAGCUGGGGCUG
rnacentral:miRNA from 1 species